GACGAACGCUGGCGGCGUGCCUAAUACAUGCAAGUAGAACGCUGAAGGAGGAGCUUGCUCUUCUGGAUGAGUUGCGAACGGGUGAGUAACGCGUAGGUAACCUGCCUGGUAGCGGGGGAUAACUAUUGGAAACGAUAGCUAAUACCGCAUAACAGUAGAUGUUGCAUGACAUUUGCUUAAAAGGUGCAAUUGCACCACUACCAGAUGGACCUGCGUUGUAUUAGCUAGUUGGUGGGGUAACGGCUCACCAAGGCGACGAUACAUAGCCGACCUGAGAGGGUGAGCGGCCACACUGGGACUGAGACACGGCCCAGACUCCUACGGGAGGCAGCAGUAGGGAAUCUUCGGAAAUGGACGGAAGUCUGACCGAGCAACGCCGCGUGAGUGAAGAAGGUUUUCGGAUCGUAAAGCUCUGUUGUAAGAGAAGAACGAGUGUGAGAGUGGAAAGUUCACAAUGUGACGGUAUCUUACCAGAAAGGGACGGCUAACUACGUG
rnacentral:rRNA from 1 species